CGGUCUCUUGCCGCCCGAACCCAAAUAAAACCCUCGCUCUCUUCCCCUGGUUUUGUUCUUUCUUCCCUCCCUCUUCCUUCGCUCUCUCUGUCUCCUUCCGCUGCCAUGGCGGAGCUCAAGAGGCUCUCGGAGAGUCGUGACCUUACCCGGAUCGAGCGCAUCGGUGCCCACUCGCACAUCCGCGGCCUGGGCCUCGACUCCGCCCUGGAGGCCCGGGCUGUCUCCGAGGGCAUGGUCGGUCAGCAGUCCGCCCGCAAGGCCGCCGGCCUCAUCCUCCAGCUCAUCCGCGAGGGUAAGAUCGCCGGCCGCGCCAUCCUCCUCGCCGGCCAGCCGGGCACUGGCAAGACCGCCAUCGCCAUGGGCCUCGCCAAGUCCCUCGGCCAGGAGACCCCCUUCGCCACCGUCUCCGGUUCCGAGCUCUUCUCCCUCGAGAUGUCCAAGACCGAGGCCCUCACCCAGGCCUUCCGCCGCGCCAUCGGCGUCCGCAUCAAGGAGGAGGCCGAGAUCAUCGAGGGCGAGGUCAUCGAGCUCACCAUCGACCGCCCCGCCGCCGCCGGAGGCGGCGCAAGUGGUUCCGGCCAGUCCUCGUCAGCCUCCAAGACCGGGAAGCUCACGCUCAAGACCACCGACAUGGAGACGGUGUACGAUUUGGGCGCGAAGAUGAUCGAGGCACUGACCAAGGAGAAGGUGCAGAGUGGGGAUGUGAUCACAUUGGAUAAGGCGUCCGGAAAGGUCACGAAGCUGGGGCGGUCCAUCGGGCGGUCCAGGGACUACGAUGCCGUUGGACCGCAUACGAAGUUCGUGAGGUGCCCUGAGGGGGAGCUGCAGAAGAGAAAGGAGGUCGUGCACUGCGUCACCCUUCACGAGAUCGAUGUCAUCAACAGCAGAACUCAAGGCUUUUUAGCACUCUUUACUGGUGACACUGGCGAAAUCCGUGCUGAAGUCAGAGAGCAGAUAGACACAAAAGUGGCAGAGUGGAGAGAGGAAGGAAAAGCUGAGAUAGUCCCGGGUGUCCUGUUCAUCGAUGAGGUUCACAUGCUUGACAUUGAAUGCUUCUCAUUCCUAAAUCGCGCAUUGGAGAACGACAUGGCCCCCAUCCUGGUUAUUGCAACAAACCGAGGGAUCACAACCAUCCGAGGCACAAACUAUAGAUCUCCCCAUGGAAUCCCAGCCGAUUUCCUCGACCGCCUACUUAUAAUAUGUACUCAACCAUAUACCGAGGAGGAGACCCGGAAGAUUCUUGACAUCAGAUGUGAAGAGGAAGAUGUAGAAAUGUCCAAGGAUGCAAAGGUUCUGCUAACAAAAAUAGGUGCGGAGACCUCUUUGAGGUAUGCAAUCAACUUGAUCACUGCAGCUGCUCUUGCUUGCCAGAAGAGAAAGGGUAAGAUUGUGGAGAUGGAGGAUAUAAGUAGGGUGUAUCAGUUGUUUCUUGAUGUGAAAAGAUCGACACAGUAUUUAAUGGAGUACCAGAGCCAGUACAUGUUCAACGAAGUGCCGAGGGAGGCAGAUGAAGAUGAAACCACGCAAUUUUAGUCUGGCACCAUGUAGAGCUCCAUCCGUAUGUUUACUUGUCAUGGUAGGGUAGGAUUGUAAUCCAAGUAUUCUGCUGUUGCUUAAUUUAUGCACUAUGGUUGUUUGGAAUCUGGAAUCUAGUCGAAAACAGGAUUUCCUAUGGAGAGAGAUGUCUUCUGUUAUACUCUGUAAUCUUUGACAGACCGGAUGAUUCUGUAUUCUUGGCCGCUCAUCUGUAUGGACCUUGCAUUGAUGAAAGACAUGAAUGCUUGGUGAGAAAAGAACAAGUACUUGCGGGUGUCAUGGUACGAAAACAUGACGUGGAUUUCUAGGAACCAACAUUCUGAAGCUUUCCCCACUACAGCGAACCAUGGGUCGUUGGCUAUCACCAGAUUCGCUCCUUGAAGCAGAAGCUUUCAUUUUCUCCGCCGGGCCCCACUGCAAUGUAGAGCAAAACUGAAAAAUCUUUAUAUGUGGAGGUUAAUUGAUGUUAGAAUGACCUUUACACCUGAAAGCACUUCUAUACUUGAAAAGAUUUGAAUUGUUUGUUCCUCUAACUAGCAAGGGAAUGCAGAGAUUAAUACAAGGAAGCAUGUGGGAGAUUUGUGACAAAAAAUUUUAACAUGUUUCAUUUGUGAUUGGAAUUGAAAUGGAUUGGAAUGAUCGUCAAAA